CAUGCAAAGAAAGGACAGUGAUUUGAUAGUGAUCAAUUGCCUGCACAUUAUUAUUAUUAUUAUUAUUAUUAUUAUUAUUAUUAUUAUUAUUAUUAUUAUUAUUAUUAUUAUUAUUAUUAUUAUUAUUAUUAUUAUUAUUAUUAUUAUUAUUAUUAUUGGUUUAAAUGUACGCGGGCGCUAGCACUCAGGCCUUAGAGUUGUUCCCGGGCACGGUAACUAAAUGGUUGCUUGAUAAAGGAUUGAUUAUUAUAACUGUGCUUUCUGACGACAUCAUUUUCAAAGCCAUACUCGUAGGCCUGUGUCAUCUCGAGUCGGAGAAAAGGUGCUCGCAAGGGCACGGCACGUGACGCUUCAGAAGUACGCACCGUCAAGCUACUGGCAUAACUAUUCUUAUAUUUUAUUUUCUUUCUUUCUUUCUUUUCCUUUUCUUUUCUUUUCUCUAGUAUUUCUUUUUUAUUGUCUUGUCUCAGGAUACCGUUCGCUUAUUCCACCAAGCAGUUCCUUAGCUCUCCACAACGAGGCAACGAAUGUCGGUGCACGACCUCAGCCACUGCACGAUGGGCGCAAUGCGUGUGCCCCACUCUCUGGCUGUGAAGUGCGGGAUUGAAGUGGCCAACACUUCUUCGAAAGCUGACUCGCUCCGUCGCACUGCCAGUGGCACGCUUCUUCUAUUAUUUGGGAUUAACGCUUUCGUUUCUCCAACCAAAUUUGGAGAGCAAUUACCUUCCCCACAUUAAUGGUCGACAAGCUAGCACACUAUCCAAUCUCCCGACGUCAAGUUUACGUAACCGCCGACGCAAGCCCGGGCGGUGACUCGCAAGGUUGUUUCAAUAGUCCAAUAAAACGCUCUCCUCUUUUAUAGGAGGUGACUUCUC